rnacentral:misc_RNA from 1 species
GAAACACGAAGAUACACGUUGUCUGGGAGAAAAUCAGAGGCGACGACAAGAAACCCGACGAUCCAAGUGAGCGGCGACGCUGUGUUUUCACGAAGUAGGGGUGACCCUACCGAGUAGUUGCAUUUAGUUCAAAGAAAGCAGGCAAACGCAUAAUUAAAUCGUGACGCACACUCGCAAGCACACGCAGUCGCUACACGGCACUCAAAACGGAUAUAUUAGUUUAGCUGUGGGGACUGUGUGUGUGGGCGAAAAUGGGGUGCCUAAACUCCAAAUCAACGGCAGAAAAGACGACCUCGGGCCCGAAGAGGUUUGGCUAUCACCCCAAAAGUAACAACAAGCAUCACAAUGAAGAGAAGGGGGUUGUCUCGAAAUACAGCGCAGUCAAGGGGUGGGCAGGUUCUUCCGACAAUGAUGAGAGGACUGAAGAGGUGGGGCCAGAUGCGAACAAAGCAACAAAGGCCUCCGCUGAACGUUUCUUGCGCUCUAUUCUGGAGGGUGCGGAGCUCUUCUUCAGUGGCCUGCCCGAUUCGCAGGCGGUGAAGCAACUAAUUGCGUUGACGUUUACCAAUUCCUGUGCCGAGGUAACACGCACCAAGUUCCGCCUCAAGCUUGACCUCAUCACGGUUCUUCUGACGUCAUUAGCGCGGCAGCUCAAGUUGCCGUUGAUAGAGGCAUCCGUGCCGCAGGUUGAGGAGCGUGCCAUGGACGACGGCUUCUCGCGCAUACUGCUAGCGUGGUUUUCGAACAACCCGUCGUUCGGAAAGACGAUUCCGGUGACCUCGGGGCAGGCGGUGCUCAAUACCCUGUACAUCCGGUACGUGGUGAGUAAAUCUGUUUCGUUCGAGGACAUCCUAGCCUAUCAAUUCCGCUGGGUGUCUGCAAACGACGCCGCGACGGAAGUGUUCAACAAGUUCACGGACGGGAAAGAGUCGAUGACAUCAGAGCAACUAGGCAAGUUCCUGCGUGAUGUGCAGCGCAGCGAGGUCACAGAUCGCCAGAUUGUGGAGAAGUUCAAGUAUUGCUUUGGCGGCGGCAUCCACAAGUAUAACUUCAUCAGCUACAAUGGGAGCGUAUUGACAAACAACGCCAUCGACCCUGCACGGACGUCUGACGUGUGGCAGGACAUGACGCAAUCCUUCACGCACUACAUGGUCUCGUGUGCGCGCAUCGAAACUGAGGAAGACCUCAAGCGUGCCGCAGCGGACGGAACGCGCGCUUUGGUGCUCAACAUCAAUAAAGCGAGCAACGGAAAGCUCAUGGUGGGAUCUUGCGAGUUGCAGACCAUCUUGGAGGGCGUAAAGAAGAACGGCUUUGCGACGAACACGUACCCGAUCGUCCUUUGUCUUUCUCCUGGCACACCGAUGCCCACUCCUGUUCAGGAUGAGGUGGCAAAGAUGAUCAACGACAUUCUGGAGUCCGCCGUGGCGGAGGGUCUCAUGUUUGAGGGUGCCAUGAUCAAUGACCCCAAGUUCAGCCCCGGUGCGUUGCGCAACAAGGUGCUUGUUAUGAGCCAUCAGAGUCGCCUGAAGCCCUUCAUUGGCUUUCUGGUGGCCGAUAUGAACAAGGAUGGCCUCGGCGUCCGCGUCACGGAUGUGAUGGAGGGGACGCCGGCGUCGAAGGGUGGCGUGCUCAAGGAUGAUUGGCUGACUCACAUCAACGGUAUUCCAAUCCAGAACAAGCAGCAUUUGCGAGAAACCCUGGCGCGUCUCAAGGUCGGCGAUGAGUUCACUGUGCGCCGAGAAAACUUGCAUGAUGUCAAGGUGGUGGUGGGCGGCGCCAUUGAUCCGCAGGACACCACUGCGUCCGCGUCUCUCUCUAGCAUCACUUUCUUCAAGUACUCUGACAGUAAUGAUCCGAAGCCGUGGGACACGGAGCGCGUCCCCGCAUCGAGCCUCGCCACGACUAAGUUGACACGGAAGGAUUUGCUGACGCAUUUCGCGUUCUGCACAGUGAACUCCGCUGAAGUGUCCACGGAGCUGCCAGAUGCGGAGGGCAAGGCGGCCAGCCUGGGUAUCCAGUUUGUCGACGUUGACAACAGCGAGCGGUGCCUUCCCUGGACUCGUGGACGAUUCUCUGACAAUGGUCGCUGCGGGUACAUUCUUAAAACCGACAUCGACUCCGCCAAGUCUCCUGAGCUGAGCUUCAGCGUUAUCGGUGGCCCUCGCCUCCUCAACUGCUCGCCGUUGACGUCGAUGAAUGUCACUAUCCAUGGCGCAGGCGCGGCGCGCGUGAAUGGGAGUCAGGUUUCCUUCACGGAUUGCAACCAGGCUACAAUAGCAGUGGUGCAGAUGACGUUUGAAGCGAACGGCGCGGAGCGGACCUUUACCUCGGCUUUUUGCCCUGGUCUUCUUCGCCCUGGUUACCGCGCCCUCCCUUCCGUCCCCUUUGGCGAAGAGCGCGCCUCGAAGAAGCAGAUCCAUGGCAUCUACUGCUUCAUCAAGUAGAAGCCCUCGACAGUGCUGCCCUAGUUUCGUGAGGGGGCGGCGGGGGGGGGUGGCGGAGCCGUCCUUAUGGGGACUUACGUCUCCUUGUGUGCAUUCCUCAAAAGAUAGGGUGCUUCGCAUCUUUUGCUUGUCGUUUUGUUAUUGCUUCUCUCUCCUUCCAGCCGUCUUCCGUGUUCGGGCAGAGUUCACUCGCUUUCUAGCAGUUUUUCUUAUAGCAUGGCUGUUUGCGCAUGGAACCGAAAAGAAAAACUUGCACAGAUGCACAAGCGCACGGGCGCCCACGAACGAAAACAAUUCUCUCGAACUCUUCCCCGGACCCUUUUGGCACCCCUCUUUCCCCCUCGCCGUUGCUGUUCACGCAAGCUGUUGUAUGCUUGCUAAGAGUUUGGCGGGCAGUUAUUUCUCUAACAGUUCAAGGUGUUCUCUCUCCCACGGGAACCCGUGAGACGAGGCUGCAUUUCUUCCAGUCGCAGCAUGGAUGUACUCGCAAAAACAAAAAGGCCAUGAGGUAGUUUUGUCGACGAGUAAGAGAAAGGAAAGGCGCUGUCGGAGCUUGUGGCGAGGCCAACUGUGUCGGAUGUCCUCUACUGCAACCCUGAUGGGCUGCGUGGUGUUAUAUGAAGGGUAUCACCACCGAUGCGGCACUCGAAUAUGUGACGUGGAUGUUGCGAACAGUUUUCAUCAUUGCAAGACAGCUAUCGAUGUAGCUCGUUCGUCUGUUUUGCUUUCCUUUACCUUCACCGUUUCCAGCUUCAAUAUUUACAAGAACUGGAGGGAACGUGCACUUUUUUCUAGAAUUUUAGCUAGAGAUCAUCUGCGUUUCCCGUCUUGCUUUACCUUUUCUUUGUAUAUAAUUUUCUUGUUUCACUUGAUCAUAGGCAACAGUGCUGGUCGCCUCUCCCGCGAGAGCGGUGAAUUUCGCUCAAUCUCGUUGCUCUUCUUUCUCAUUGCCUACAAAGCGCGUCGAAGAAGAAAAAUCACGUUUAUGAAAACGACUCUUCUCUCUUUCUUCCCUUUCGCUUCAAGGUAGCCCGCCCCGCGCUCGCGAUCAUUGCGCGGCCUCCAUCUGCUGUGAUUUAUCAAAGUGACUCUAGCGUAGUUGUUUGCCGUUUAUCUUUUUUUUUUUUGGGUGUGCAUUUGGGUUUCCUCACUGUGUUUUUCUCAUGGAAGGCACAAUUCGCGUCCGUGUGCUUCAGAUGUGAUGCGGAGAGACGCAUCGCUUCUCUUGCUUUUGUUCGUUGUUUCUGGUGCUGGUAACCUGUAAAGUUGUCAUCUGUGCAGGCGGAGUGACGUAGGGAAGAGGAGGGGGGUUUGGCUUUUGUACAUAUAUACACAUACACUCAGCUGCACGCACACGCCAAUGGCCGAUACAUUUUUUCAUCUUUGUUUUGCUCUUCCUGCGAUUGUUGACUGGCCUUCAUUGCUCAACCUCCCCGAUUUCUUCUGCAGUGCGGCGUUUUUUUUUUGCUGGUCGAGGUGCUCCCUCGUAGCUUGUAUGCGAUGUUCGUGAAUGUGUGCGUGCCUGUCAGGGGUGUAUGUAUGCG